GGCCCGGCUGCCCGCUCCGCUUCCGGGGCCCGCGCCUCCGGCUCGUUUUGCUCCGCGCGGCGUUCCUGCCGCUCUGCCCCCAGCCUGCAGCGAUGCCUGGGGUGGUUGUGAGCGAAGUGCGGGACCGGCGAGUGGCGGUGUUGAGCCUCGUGCCGUUGGCGUCGGCCGUCGAUCAGCCUGUGCGGGCCGCUCUGCAGGGUCCUCGUAUCCUUAGGCAGAUAAUAGCAGGAUGCAGGAGCUGAGGGGCGAUGGGAGGGAGGGGAGCGUCCUGCGUGGGAUGGCCCCGCGACCUGCCAUGUGCCUAUGGAAAUGGUGAGAGUGACUUCUGAGGCUGUGAGCGGUGGCUGAUGAGAGAAGCUGAAGAGAGGAGCCUCCGAAUUGAACUGACUGAUAUGGAACGAAAGGGCAUUUGAUUGCAAAUGGAUCAAGGUGUGUCUGUUUUCCUUCUGAAAAGUGAAAUGUGCUGCUGAAGUUCCCUUGUUAUCACACGUGCUUUGCUUGUCUGCUUUCCUCCAGAGCGGAGGCCUUCAUCCUGUGCCUGCUUGGCUUCCUGACCUGUUGUGGUAGCUGCAGGCACGAAGCGCUAAGAGGAGCACAGGAUCAGAUCCUGGGGUGUUUGGGGUUUGUUGUUAUCUGAAGCUGGUAAGUAAGUGUAUGCUACAUAGGAAGCUGCAGUUGAACUGCACAAAUUCAUCUUCUGACUGGCUGGCAAACAGCUGAUUUUAUAAGUCAGAGAUCUGGAAUUCCUUCAGAUUCUCCAGUGACGUUCCGACGGAUACGAUGCCCUUACAUUAUUGGUACACAGCUCCAGGUUUUUGUUACAUGUUCGGAUCUGCCUUUUGCACAAAGUAAGAGCUCUGUGUUUUAACAUCAUCAAGUUAAUCUGUCUGUACGUUUGCUAAGGUCUCUCUCAGGUUGUUUGUGUUCAGUUAUGAAGAAUAGGUGUAAGGAUUUUGUUAUCUGGGCUAUCUGUACGACUUCUUUCUGAGAAUCCAGUCUGAAAUGUGCUGCAGUCUUUUGAUAUGUUUACUGUCUUCUGUACAUUUUCUUGCCAAACUGUGAUCUGGAAGAAAGUUGCUGAGAAGUCAUAGAGAUGAUCUUAAAACAGACUAGGAAACAGAGUUUGUUUCCAGUGAAACAAUUACUAAUCUAAGAAAAGCCUUAUUAAAGAAAGAGAAGGCACCAGUAUCUUAAGCACAAUCAUUUCAAAGCUUAUAGCUUUGAUGUGACUCCGUUUUGGAUAAAUAAAGAGAAGUGCGCGGUCUGAAAUAACUGAAACAGAGCUCAGCAGAAAGCAUCCGCAUGCUUGUCAAAGGAAAUUUGAGUUGGCUGUCUUGUCUCCUGCACAUUUAAAGGUUUAACAGGCUUGCCACGUGACUUCCUGGCUCUCGUAUGCUUAUUUGGAGGUUGGUGCUACUCCUGUUUUCUUCCUUUUACAAGCCCUUUGUGAUAACACCAGCCCCGUUGGUUUAGCAUUCCAGCAGCCCGAUCUGCGUGCAGAAAUUAUUGUAGAACAGGUCCAAAUCUGUAAAUGCAGUAUUGCUCUUAUCUUGGCUUUUGUAUCAUAAAUCAAUUCUUCCUGGUGAAGGGAGGCUUAUCUUUCUGCUGGACUCAUUUUCUCUGAGCCUGAGUUCUCUGUGUUACCGUUGUCUUUCAUUGGACUUGGGCAGAAUUUUAAUUUGAGGAAGCUACUGAGUUUAACUUUUUUUUUUUUUAAAUGAGCGUAUUUAUAGGAGAAUUCAGGAUCUCUCCUGUAGUGCACGUAUUGUGCAUUUAUAUGAUGUGAUAAAUCUUAAGCCCUGGCUUGAGCCCUUUUGGCUCAUCUGUGUACAGAUGCACGAUUUCAGGCCAGCCACUGUUUUCUGUAAGACUCCGUUAUUAAACUGUAUUUGCAUGCUGCGGCUGUGAAGUUCAAGGUCCUGGCAACAGAUUGCAUUGAGGACCAAGUCAGAAGACCUGGAAAAUGGGGCCUUGUCAACUCCCUUGACUGCUUCUUAAAGCAAGUCCUGGCAGAUGGCUGCUCAGAGCUGUAUUCUCUGCUUUAUUGAUGUGCAGAUAAAAGACUGGUGAUGUUUCUUACUGGUGCUUAAAAACAAACACUCCAAAGCCCACGGAAAGAUCACCACCUCCAACCACAAAGCUACCAGAGGAACUGUAGAGCAUAACGGCUUCUAUAGCUACUGCCAUUGGAGCACUUUGAUCUGAAGGGCCUGCAAAGACAAUCGCUCAAUCUGUCAGGCCUCCCCUGCCUCGUUUCCAGCCUUCCCCUCAGCGAGCAGCUUUCUACCUCAGAGUCUUGUGUGGCUCUCUGAAUCUGCAAACUGACCAGCAGACUGAGUGGAAAUAAAGCCAAUUAAUUUUUAUUGGAAGUACUGCAUACAGAGCUGGAACCCCCGGUCAAAGAAAGGCGCAGAGCUCUUGGACCAAGAGGAGGGCCACUAAGAUGAUCAGAGGGCUGGAGCACCUCUCGUGUGAAGAAAGGUGGAGAGAACCAGGCUUGUUUAGCUUGGUGGAAAUCUGGACGGCUUCCCAGCCCCCUUGCCGACAGCUCCACCGCGGUCACCACGGUUGGCUGCACCUUCCUCUCUGGAGCGGUGCGAGCAUCGAGCCCUAGGGAGGCG